rnacentral:rRNA from 1 species
GUGGGGAAUAUUGGACAAUGGGCGAAAGCCUGAUCCAGCCAUGCCGCGUGUGUGAAGAAGGUCUUCGGAUUGUAAAGCACUUUAAGUUGGGAGGAAGGGCAGUAAGUUAAUACCUUGCUGUUUUGACGUUACCAACAGAAUAAGCACCGGCUAACUUCGUGCCAGCAGCCGCGGUAAUACGAAGGGUGCAAGCGUUAAUCGGAAUUACUGGGCGUAAAGCGCGCGUAGGUGGUUUGGUAAGAUGGAUGUGAAAUCCCCGGGCUCAACCUGGGAACUGCAUCCAUAACUGCCUGACUAGAGUACGGUAGAGGGUGGUGGAAUUUCCUGUGUAGCGGUGAAAUGCGUAGAUAUAGGAAGGAACACCAGUGGCGAAGGCGACCACCUGGACUGAUACUGACACUGAGGUGCGAAAGCGUGGGGAGCAAACAGGAUUAGAAACCCCAGUAGUCC